UGAGGAAUAUUGGUCAAUGGGCGAAAGCCUGAACCAGCCAAGUCGCGUGAGGGAAGACGGUCCUAUGGAUUGUAAACCUCUUUUGUCGGGGAGCAAGGAUCCGCACGAGUGCGGAGGCGAGAGUACCCGAAGAAAAAGCGUCGGCUAACUCCGUGCCAGCAGCCGCGGUAAUACGGAGGAUGCGAGCGUUAUCCGGAUUUAUUGGGUUUAAAGGGUGCGCAGGCGGAGGAUCAAGUCAGCGGUAAAAUAGCGGGGCUCAACCCCGUCGAGCCGUUGAAACUGGUUUUCCUAGAGUGAGCGAGAAGUAUGCGGAAUGCGUGGUGUAGCGGUGAAAUGCAUAGAUAUCACGCAGAACUCCGAUUGCGAAGGCAGCAUACCGGCGCUCAACUGACGCUCAGGCACGAAAGCGUGGGUAUCGAACAGGAUUAGAUACC
rnacentral:rRNA from 1 species